rnacentral:rRNA from 1 species
UGGGGAAUUUUGGACAAUGGGCGCAAGCCUGAUCCAGCCAUUCCGCGUGAGUGAAGAAGGCCUUCGGGUUGUAAAGCUCUUUCGCAAGGGAAGAAAACUUAUCCUCUAACAUAGGAUGAGGUUGACGGUACCUUGAUAAGAAGCACCGGCUAACUACGUGCCAGCAGCCGCGGUAAUACGUAGGGUGCGAGCGUUAAUCGGAAUUACUGGGCGUAAAGCGUGCGCAGGCGGUUUUGUAAGUCAGAUGUGAAAUCCCUGGGCUCAACCUAGGAACUGCGUUUGAAACUACAAGACUAGAAUAUGUCAGAGGGGGGUAGAAUUCCACGUGUAGCAGUGAAAUGCGUAGAGAUGUGGAGGAAUAUCAAUGGCGAAGGCAGCCCCCUGGGAUAAUAUUGACGCUCAUGCACGAAAGCGUGGGGAGCAAACA